rfam:Canis lupus familiaris chromosome 23, whole genome shotgun sequence.
GCCUGGGUGGCUCAGUGGUUGAGCAUCUGUCUUCCGCUCAGGUCAUGAUCCCAGGGUCUUGGGAUCGAGUCCCAAAUUGGGCU